CAGUAGCCGCGGGAAUACGAAGGUCCCGAGCGUUACUCGGAAUUACUGGGCGUAAAGCGUGCGUAGGUGGUGGUUUAAGUCCGUUGUGAAAGCCCUGGGCUCAACCUGGGAAUUGCAGUGGAUACUGGAUCACUAGAGUGUGGUAGAGGAUAGUGGAAUUUCCGGUGUAGCAGUGAAAUGCGUAGAGAUCGGAAGGAACAUCUGUGGCGAAGGCGACUAUCUGGGCCAACACUGACACUGAGGCACGAAAGCGUGGGGAGCAAACAGGAUUAGAUACCCCGGUAGUCCCUGUCUCUUAUAC
rnacentral:rRNA from 1 species